rnacentral:tRNA from 1 species
GCCGCUGUAGCUCAGUUGGUAGAGCAGCGCAUUCGUAAUGCGAAGGUCCCCAGUUCGAAUCCGGGCAGCGGCACCA